GUAGCACCCAGGAGAGUCACGGGCUCGU
rnacentral:piRNA from 1 species